rnacentral:rRNA from 1 species
AUUGAACGCUGGCGGAAUGCUUUACACAUGCAAGUCGAACGGCAGCACGGACUUCGGUCUGGUGGCGAGUGGCGAACGGGUGAGUAAUGUAUCGGAACGUGCCCAGUCGUGGGGGAUAACGUAGUGAAAAUUACGCUAAUACCGCAUACGAUCUAUGGAUGAAAGCGGGGGAUCGCAAGACCUCGCGCGAUUGGAGCGGCCGAUAUCAGAUUGGGUAGUUGGUGGGGUAAAGGCCCACCAACCCAACGAUCUGUAGCUGGUCUGAGAGGACGACCCGCCACGCUGGAACUGAGACACUGUCCAGACUCCUACGGGAUGUAGCAGUGGGGAAUUUUGGACAAUGGGCGAAAGCCUGAUCCAGCCAUUCCGCGUGCAGGAUGAAGUCCCUCGGGUUGUAAACUGCUUUUGUACAGAACGAAAAGGUUUCUACUAAUACUAGGAGCUCAUGACGGUACUGUAAGAAUAAGCACCGGCUAACUACGUGCCAGCCGCCGCCGUAA